GAUGAACGCUGGCGGCGUGCCUAAUACAUGCAAGUCGAGCGGUAAGGCCCUUCGGGGUACACGAGCGGCGGACGGCUGAGUAACACGUAGGCAACCUGCCCCGAAGUCGGGAAUAACGCAUCGAAAGGUGCGCUAAUACCGGAUGUGGACCCGCCUCGCAUGAGGGGGUGUCUAAAGGAGUAAUCCGCUUCGGGAUGGGCCUGCGGCCUAUCAGCUUGUUGGUGGGGUAACGGCCUACCAAGGCUCCGACGGGUAGCUGGUCUGAGAGGAUGGUCAGCCAGACAGGGACUGAGACACGGCCCUGACUCCUUUGGGGGGCAGCAAUGAGGGAUAUUGCGCAAUGGGGGAAACCCUGACGCAGCGACGCCGCGUGGGUGACGAAGUCCUUCGGGAUGUAAAGCCCUUUUGUGAGGGACGAGAAUGGACGGUACCUCACGAAUAAGCCCCGGCUAACUACGUGCCAGCCGCCGCGGUAACAC
rnacentral:rRNA from 1 species